UCCACUGUAUAUUAUUGUCCUGGCCAAGGUCUUAGAACUCUGUCUAAUAAAUCACAUAGGAUCACUCCUCUUCUAUCAAGGUCGAUAGAUUCCAUGUAAGUGCAUACCCUACUCCUACAGUGAACCUACUGCAGCCAAUCUACACAACAAGGAUCCAUAUGACUAGAGACCAUGUAUAUGUGCAGUCAAACUACAAUAACCUCACUGUGAGUAGCCGAAGCACCGCAGGUCAAAGGACCAGUCACACUACUGCAACAUCAAGUAAGUCACUGACGAGUGGAUAGACAUCCAAGUGACUUCUUGUCUUGGUCAUGCUCAGUACCCUUGUUCUCUAACAAGCACCUGCACUCUCACUUCAGUGUCCCUACACUGUGGACUCGAGUCUCAUCCAUCCAUAAGGAAAGCGAUCUGUGCACUGAUCGGAUCGAUCACCGUCCUCGUGAUGAUCCAUUGAUCAUGAGCAUUUAGAAAUUAAUCACCAAUGAUACAUGGCUCAAAUUCUCAACUCUUGAGAAUAUGUAUCAUCAUCUUAUUAAUUUCUUGGACGAUUCAUAGACACAUAAACAAUAUGAAUGAAAAGAUGCCCAUUUAUUAUUCAAUAAUAAUAAAGUUAAGUACAAAUUUAUGUCCCAGAGAAAAUAAUGUGUCUGCCAGAUUGGCUUCUAGGGCAUACAUCUAACAAAAAG
rnacentral:lncRNA from 1 species